rnacentral:rRNA from 1 species
AGAGUUUGAUCCUGGCUCAGGAUAAACGCUGGCGGCGCACAUAAGACAUGCAAGUCGAACGGACUUAAUCGAUUCUUUUAGAUUCGAAGCGGUUAGUGGCGGACUGGUGAGUAACACGUAAGCAACCUGCCUGUUAGAGGGGAAUAACAGUGAGAAAUCACUGCUAAAACCGCAUAUGCCGUGAACAUCGCAUGAUGAAAACGGGAAAAGAGCAAUCUGCUAAUAGAUGGGCUUGCGUCUGAUUAGCUAGUUGGUGUGGUAAAGGCAUACCAAGGCAACGAUCAGUAGCCGGACUGAGAGGUUGAACGGCCACAUUGGGACUGAGAUACGGCCCAGACUCCUACGGGAGGCAGCAGUCGGGAAUAUUGCGCAAUGGAGGAAACUCUGACGCAGUGACGCCGCGUAUGGGAAGAAGGUUUUCGGAUUGUAAACCAUUUUAGACAAGGAAGAAACAAGACAGUACUUGUAGAAUAAGCUCCGGCUAACUACGUGCCAGCAGCCGCGGUAAUACGUAGGGAGCAAGCGUUAUCCGGAUUUAUUGGGUGUAAAGGGUGCGUAGACGGGAAGGUAAGUUAGUUGUGAAAUCCCUCGGCUCAACUGAGGAACUGCGACUAAAACUGCUUUUCUUGAGUGCUGGAGAGGAAAGUGGAAUUCCUAGUGUAGCGGUGAAAUGCGUAGAUAUUAGGAGGAACACCAGUGGCGAAGGCGGCUUUCUGGACGACAACUGACGCUGAGGCGCGAAAGUGUGGGGAGCAAACAGGAUUAGAUACCCUGGUAGUCCACACCGUAAACGAUGGAUACUAGGUGUAGGGGAUAUUAAGUCUUCUGUGCCGUCGCAAACGCAGUAAGUAUCCCACCUGGGGAGUACGGCCGCAAGGUUGAAACUCAAAGGAAUUGACGGGGGCCCGCACAAGCAGUGGAGUAUGUGGUUUAAUUCGACGCAACGCGAAGAACCUUACCAGGUCUUGACA